UCAUUCCUCUAGGCUUGCAUUUACACACAAGCUCAAGCAACCUACCCGAACUCUCGGCGGGCCACCGAUUGAGUUCCUAUUUGGUCUUGCUACGAGUGGAGUUUACCUAGCUGCCAAAUGUUACCACUGGCACGGUGCGCUCUUACCGCACCCUUUCACCCUUACCAGCCAAAGCUGGCGGUCUGCUCUCUGUUGCACUAGUCGUAGGCUCGCGCCCCCCGGACGUUAUCCGGCACUCG
rnacentral:misc_RNA from 1 species